AUGCACGAAGUUGUUUUGAUUGGAUUAAAUUUUCAGGUUCGUUUCAAUGACACUAGCGUAGAACCACCUCACUUUGCGACAGGGCGGUUUGGAGGAGACAAUGCCAUAGCAAGACAUGGAAUUCAUGGAUUGUAUUGGUUGUUUAGCAUUGAUGUUCCAAGUUAUGUUCUUGUGAAAGGACAAAAUAUCAUCUAUUUGAAGCAGUCAAGAGCGAUUAAUCCUUUUCAAGGAGUUAUGUAUGAUUAUAUUCGGUUAGAACGACCUUAG